ACGCUCGACACCUACGGAGGCAGCAGUGGGGAAUAUUGCACAAUGGGGGAAACCCUGAUGCAGCGACGCCGCGUGAGCGAAGAAGUAUUUCGGUAUGUAAAGCUCUAUCAGCAGGGAAGAAAGUGACGGUACCUGACUAAGAAGCACCGGCUAAAUACGUGCAAGCAGCCGCGGUAAUCUGAGCGGGCUGGCAAGGC
rnacentral:rRNA from 1 species